rnacentral:snoRNA from 1 species
CCGCCUAUUUGCCUCCCAAGCGCCGUUUUGUGCCUGGUGCCUUGGGACUUCCUAUAUCGGCGGCAAAUUAAACAGACUCGUUUAACCAAUUUUUACUACAGCUAUUUAUGUUGCAGCAAAAGGCUGAACCGUUUGACACU